CAAGUUUAUUAAAUUGUUGUAGGACCUAAACAGUUUGCCUGCCAGCUUGGCCAACUAUAAAAUGUCUACAUUUAUAGUUUUGGAAAUUUUACUAAAAAAUCAGCAUCCUCCAAAUACAGGGCUUAACUGAUAAAGGAAGUCCAACAUAAGAACCAAAACAGAAGCAGAAAUGCCUAUCACAUAAUCAAGAAACAUCUAAUAAUGAAGUCCUACGGCAGACUAAAAAUAGAAUAAACAUGAAAUUAGCACAUUUAAUCAUACAAUGGUGCUACGUUUCACACCAUAACAAGCAUAAUAAAAUAUAUUCUGCUUGGGGCUUAACAAGAUUUUACUUGAGAAACGAAACACAACAGCAUGAGGUCGAUCGAGAACAGAUAAAAUCUUUGUAACAUAGGAAUAAGCUGAAACUUGCUAGUUUGGACUACAAAUACCAAAGCAUGGACCAUUCAGAUUUGGGAACACUAAUGGUUAUUGCCAUCUUUGUCUGGUGAGGGAUCCAAUGUUGGUUUCUUCAUUGGGCUUGAUUCUGCUGAACCUGUACUCAUCGACACUCGCUUGACUCCUCUUCCCACAACGCCAAGAUCAGUUACCGCAGCCCCAUUUGUGUGAGCAGUGGAAACAGUUGGAGAGUCAAAACCUCCACUGCUGUUAGCAGUAGCCAUCUGUGAAGAAUUUAUGACAGCGGGAGCUGCACUUUUCUCACCACUUCUUGCCUUGGCAGCUGCUAUUCCCAGGAUUUCAGAAAGAAUUGAUUUUGGGUUCAGGGCCAACUGUUGAAGAUCUUCAAGCUUCUUUUCCAGCUCUCCAGACAGGCCAGUAAGUGUUUCAAUCUCUGAUUCUUUAUCUCUAACACCUUUAUCACUCUGCAAGUCAUUGGAUGACUGCUGGACACCCUCAUCUAGUUCAGAAACAGCUGAUGACAUUGCUGAUUCAGAGGAACUCUUUACUUCAUUCACAAGCAGCUGCAGCCUUGACUUGCAAAUUGAUAUAGCUUUCUGGCAAUAUGGCAUUGCUUCCUGAGGCUUAGAGCCAAUCUCCAAACACAAACAUAUACGGAAAUUUCUGAACUACAGUUAAGGUGUGACAAAGAAAAGGCUGAACAAAAUUUUAGAACUGAACAAAUAGAAAUUCAUUAGCAAUUGAUGAUACUAAUCAUCCCAAAUUAGGGAAGUAUUUAAACCUUAAAGAGGAUGCAGUUCAGCUAUAUGUCUACUGUCUGGUUCAACAAGCCGUUCUAGAAUGGACAAUGCUUUCUGGUAGUCACUGAGAGACGUUUCAAUGUCCUCUCUUUCCAAUGCAACUUCUGCCAAUGCUGAUAGCACAUCCACUUUAUCCAUUGUGUCACCCGAGUGUUUUUCAGCAAUUGCCCUGGCAACAUCUAGCAUUUUCCAAGCCAAGUCAAGGUCAGACUCAUCUUCAUCUGCUUCUGCCAAGUCUUCAUCAUCACUAUCCUCACCAUCUUCUUCCUGAUCUUUGUCACCAGAUGCAUCAUCUGCUGCUCCUUCUUGAUGAUUUGAAUUGCCCUUCCCAUCCUCUUCCUUCCCAUCCUCUUCUACAUUACUCAAAACGGAAGCAGUAGAAGAUUCUCCAUUUAUGGCAUUUUUAACAGAUCCAUCUUUAUCAGAGUCUUGUUUAAAUUCACCAUCCUUCUUGGGUACUGUAGCCAGUGGAUCGGCUUCUUCUUGAGCUUUGCACAAUAGUGCACGUCCAUAUUGGUAGUAUGCAUUUAGGCAUUCAAGGGCAAGUUCACCAUAGUGUGAAACACUGAUUUCUAGGGCACGGCUGAAGCAAUCGGCGGCCUCGCCAUAAUCACUUUCCUUAAGAGCUUUGGUUCCUCUCUCAGACAACUCAGCAGCGAACCCUAGUGACUUCUCUUGAUCUCCAUUGGAAGUAAGGAUAGAAUCUUCACCGCUGUUGCUGAUGUUAUUGCAAGUGGAGUCAGCACCUUCCUGCGCGUUUGACUCGAUGGUGGCCUCGUUAGAGAUUUGGGUUUCCACCGCCCUAGAGGCCUCGGCGACGGUUUGCUCAGUCAUUGUCACUGAUGAUUCCGAUAUCACAGCUUCGUCUUCCGCCAUUGUUUAGGUCAGGGUUUUGGAAAAUGAAAAAGGGCAAUGGGACACGGUAAGGGUUUGGUCUAUUCGAUUUAGCGCUUCAAAACCCCUCUUUCUGGCGGAAAAAAAUUGGAUAAAACGAGGGAAAAUAUAUGGAAACGCAGAAGCCAUACGACAGCGUUUCCUUAAUAGUCUAAAUGACCGUAUUGCCCAUCUGCAAAUGCAGGGAACCACAGGCCACAUAUAUUCAUUUCUCUUUCAUACAGAUAAUCCUCCAUUCCUCCUGCUGUAGAAUCAAUGGCUUCCACAAUCUCUCCGCCUAUUCUCCAAGCUCUCUCUCUUCACCGUGCGCGCAAUGCGCACCCCCCAUCUUGCAAGGCGCACGGUCCGAAAUCUCUACCGGCAUCUUUCGCCAGCAGGAGGCAGUUGCUCUUCCUUCUAACGGCAGCACCGGCAUUGACGGUCAGAGAAUUGGCGUCGCUUGCGGAGGAUAUUCCACUGUUCGGACUAAAGAAGAAGCUGAAGAAAGCGGAGGAGAAGGCAGAGGAGCUUGUGAAGGAAGGAUUCGAGGCAGCAGAGAAGGGACUUGAAACGGCGGAGAAAGGAAUAGCAACAGUAGAGAGAGAGAUUGAAACGGCGGAAAAAGGGAUCAAAACGGCUGAGAGAGAAAUAGAAGAGGCAGUGAGCUUCGGAGGGCUGGCACAAGCGGGCGCGGUGGCGGGAGCGGAAGUUGUGGGCGUUUUAGUGGCUACUUCCAUAGUAAAUGGGAUUUUGGGGCCUGAAGCUGAAGGUCAAAAAUCAUGAUUUAGUCGGUGAUAGUCUGAUGUUUAAAGAGCUUUUUCUGAUAUGAGAGAUGUAAAUUCCAAUUUCUAAUCAACUUCAUUCUCUGUUAAAUUUCAGAACGUAUUAAAUAAAAGUAAUGAUUUCUUUGGUACAACUGAGGCUGUGACGUUAGUUCGAGGCACACUUCAAUAAUAUCAACAGGAUUUACAGAGUAAUGCAAGCACAUUUAAUAGUUCUUACAUUUUCAUCAUACGUCGUCAGGUGUUAGAAGACAAAGGAAAACCUUAUCAUUCGUUGAGAACAAAGGACAAGGUUUUUUAACUAGCAUUUUUCUGAUUACCGAGCGCUGGUCUCUGUCAAAUCUCUGCAUUUUGUCUAGCUUUCAUAGCGAACUCAAGUACAGUACCCCGCCACAAGGAGGAAACUCUAUCUCCAUGGCUUGUGUGGCUUCAAACCCCUUCGGCCUCCAUAGGUUCCGGCCAUAUUUUCGGGAAGCUUAACCUCCACCGCCUCUCAUCCAACUACGGAACCAAGCCUUGUAGAUUCCCAACCGUAGUAGCUUGUCAAAAAGACCUCAAUCCCACAGAAAUCUCCACCAAGGAAAAUGUCCUUGUUGAGCCUGCUUCAGUAACCGAUACUUAAAGCGAUUGUUCAACUUUGUCGCCGGGUUCUGGAUCACCUGAAUUUCCAAAUAAAGAUGUAAAUAAACGAAUAGCUGUGGUUUCUGUGCUUGCGGGAAUGGGACUUUUCUUAUCGGCGCGGCUGGAUUUCCGGGUUUCUCUAAGGACCUCUCUGCUGCUGCUCUACCGUAUGAAGAGGUUUCUAUCUAUUCUUUCUUUGUUAAAGCGCUUGUUUAUCUGGCUUUUUAUUUAUAUAUAACUGAGCAAUUAUGUCAUCAAUAUAGCAGAAGUUGAUCCCAUGCAGCAUAAUAUCUUUUGCUCAGUCUCAAAACACAAAAUAAAACACAUCAGAACAAAUUGCUUUCCAGCAUUUCGAGAUCAUUUUUUAUCUUCGAAGGAAAGAAAUCUUCAUAGAUGACAGGAUUGUGAGAAUCGUUGUGUUACGACCUGAUCAAUUCAACCUAGGAGAGUGUUUGGAAGAAGAGAAAGGAAGGGAAAGUAGAAAAGAAAAUAGAGCGAGAGGACGAGAGAUGGCGAGAGAGAAAAAGAACCUGUCUAGAAGAAAGAAAGAGAGAUAAAGAAAAUGACUGUAUUUCAUCAAUCUUUUUAUGAAAUUCAAUUGUACCGCAUCAAUAAACAGGAAGCGUAUCCAUUCAACAAAGAGUGAUGCUCAGGCCAGUUAUUGCCACGAUGUAAAACCCUUGGAAAAGUGAGAGCUUGCAGCAUAGAUCGCCAAAGGCCAAGGGUAUUUUUUUUUUUUCAUCUUGAAAUCCUUAAUUAAUGAGAACAAAAUU
rnacentral:misc_RNA from 1 species